UGGGGAAUAUUCGACAAUGGGCGAAAGCCUGAUCCAGCCAUGCCGCGUGUGUGAAGAAGGUCUUCGGAUUGUACAGCACUUUAAGUUGGGAGGAAGGGCAGUAAGCGAAUACCUUGCUGUUUUGACGUUACCGACAGAAUAAGCACCGGCUAACUCUGUGCCAGCAGCCGCGGUAAUACAGAGGGUGCAAGCGUUAAUCGGAAUUACUGGGCGUAAAGCGCGCGUAGGUGGUUCGUUAAGUUGAAUGUGAAAGCCCCGGGCUCAACCUGGGAACUGCAUCCAAAACUGGCGAGCUAGAGUAGGGCAGAGGGUGGUGGAAUUUCCUGUGUAGCGGUGAAAUGCGUAGAUAUAGGAAGGAACACCAGUGGCGAAGGCGACCACCUGGGCUCAUACUGACACUGAGGUGCGAAAGCGUGGGGAGCAAACAGG
rnacentral:rRNA from 1 species